rnacentral:rRNA from 1 species
ACGCACGCUGGCGGCAUGCCUCACACAUGCAAGUCGCACGAGACCUUCGGGUCUAGUGGCGCACGGGUGCGUAACGCGUGGGAACCUGCCCUUAGGUUCGGAAUAACUCCCCGAAAGGGGUGCUAAUACCGGAUAAUGUCUUCGGACCAAAGAUUUAUCGCCUUUGGAUGGGCCCGCGUUGGAUUAGCUAGUUGGUAGGGUAAAAGCCUACCAAGGCGACGAUCCAUAGCUGGUCUGAGAGGAUGAUCAGCCACACUGGGACUGAGACACGGCCCAGACUCCUACGGGAGGCAGCAGUGGGGAAUAUUGGACAAUGGGCGAAAGCCUGAUCCAGCAAUGCCGCGUGAGUGAUGAAGGCCUUAGGGUUGUAAAGCUCUUUUACCCGGGAUGAUAAUGACAGUACCGGGAGAAUAAGCUCCGGCUAACUCCGUG